UACAGAGGCCCCAAGCGUUUGUUCGGAUUCACUGGGCGUAAAGGGUGCGUAGGUGGCCAGGUAAGUUCGGUGUGAAAGCUCGGAGCUUAACUCCGAAAUGGCAUUGAAUACUAUUGAGCUGGAGGUUUGGAGGGGGGACUGGAAUUCUCGGUGUAGCAGUGAAAUGCGUAGAUAUCGAGAGGAACACCAGUGGCGAAGCGAGUCCCUGGACAACACCUGACACUGAGGCACGAAAGCUAGGGGAGCAAACAGG
rnacentral:rRNA from 1 species